GGUGAAAAGUAACACCCAAACAAAAAUGCAUCAGAUUUUAUGAAAGUGAGGGCAACUGAUGCACCCUAGUAGGUAUUGCAGUAACUUUUUACCUAUUUCCAUGACCAUUUUGUAAUAAUACUAUAUAAUAAGUUACACAACUCAGUUGGCAAUUUUGAAUAGUUAAAUGGUCAUACCUUCUUUUGAUUUAAUUGUAGGGCUAGCAGAUACAAUAAAGAAGGCCAUAGAGGCUCAGCUUGCCAACAGCAACAGUCAUCUGGCAGCAGAGAAGAAGGAAUCUGUCCUCACCCUAAUGAACCCAACUGCCUUGGAUUAUGCCCAAAGGUGUGAGGGCUAUAAGAAACUCACAAGGACUGUGAUGGACUCUGUCUUCACUGUGGAGGAGAUGGCAACGUGCUCCGUCACGGGGAAAAAAGGGAUUGUGGGGGAAAAAAAAAAAGACAGUGGCUUGAUGUGGACAAAGUGAAGUCAGUGAUUGUUUCUUACAGAUCAUGUCAAAAGUGUUCACAAGGGUGUUGGGGACACUGAAAUCAAGGCCUGCAUGGCGCAAAAAUUAAAAGACAUCCGGAGACGAGCAGAGAAGGAAAAAUGGGAACCAUCUGGAGGAGACCAAGAAGAUGAGGGAUGCGACGAUGCAGAAGUUACAGAAAAGUUCAAAGUUUGUUUAAAGGAAUAGUUUGACAUUUUGGGAGUUAGAUAAGACUGACACCAUUUUCAUGUCUGUUAAUUAACCCUCCUGUUGUCCAAGGAUGGAAGGAGGAAAAGGUGAAGAAGGGAAUGAAGGAAAGGAGGAAUAUACAUCAUGUAUUUAUGUUUAAGAUAAAAUAACAUAUGUUUUCAAUCAGACAUACAGUAUACUUCAUUCAUGUUUUGUUCCAGGUAUCAUGAGAUAUCAAAUCGUUUAUCUUGUGUAUCGAAUCAAAUCAUUGAAUGGAUAUUUACGUCCCUACAGAAGUCUGAGACAGACUAGUUUUGGAGAUAUGUUGUUGUUGUAAUUCCAUCUGGACUGUUUUGAUGUGAGUUGACUAGUUUUGGUUAUGGGCUGUACAGUAGAGAUGUCUGCCUUCUCUCUAAUAUAAUGGAACUAGUCACGUGUUCAAAGCACCAAAAAUGCAUUUGAAAAACUUAAAACCAGUGUCUUUACAAAAUUAAUGACCCAGUUACCCCCCAAAAAUCCACAGACCUUGUUGUGUCAUGUUAAAUAAUCACUGGUGUCAAAGGUUGGGGUUAGGGGUGAUGCUAAGUAAAUAUGCUUUUACUUACUGUAA